GACACGACUCUCGGCAAUGGAUAUCUCGGCUCUCGCAUCGAUGAAGAGCGCAGCGAAAUGCGAUACGUGGUGCGAAUUGCAGAAUCCCGCGAACCAUCGAGUCUUUGAACGCAAGUUGCGCCCGAGGCCAACCGGCCAAGGGCACGUCUGCCUGGGCGUCAAUC
rnacentral:rRNA from 1 species